AAGGGGGCCGGCUGCAGGUGGGAGGAGCGGCGCCAGGCCCCGCCAUCUGCUCUGCGCGCCUUCCUCUCUCCUGUCCACUGAGUAGGGUCUUCUUAGGUUGGUUCUACAGUGCCAGGUCGCCACUUGAAAAUUGGCUUAGGUGUGGAGAGAUCAUCCCUGUCAGCUGCAGUGAGAGCAGAGAUGGGAGUACCCCCAAUUUCCACAGUAAUUCUGAAGAGGCAGAUCAAUUGGUGGUACAAAAUAAGACAAAUGCAACCACAUAGACUCCCAGCCAUAUGCCUAUUAGAGCAAGAAAACCACAAAGAAUGGUCAUCAUGGCUAAGCAGACUCGACCACACUGUCAGUUGGCUGAAGCUGGGGCUAACAGCAGGAGCUCACUCCUCUUCCCGGAUUCGAACCUCCGACCUUUCGGUCCGCAAGUUCAGCAGCUCAGCGCUUUAACGCACCUCCACCGGGUUCAAACCACCCCAAAUUUUUCAGGCCUGUCUGGAGUGGGCACACUUCAAUCUCCUUUCUGCUUUCUGCUUCAGUUUUAAUGCUUCCUUAAAGCUGUUUCUACUUUCUACUCUAGAGGGUAAGUAACUAGGUAGUAGUAGUUUUCAGAAAAUGAGGGUUUUCUUUUUGUUCGCUGGGAUUAAUAAUAAUAAUUAUCUCUUAGAAGUAUUUGAAGGAGAGGAAGGGAAGGAGAAAAAAGCUAAAAGGGUGACUCUCCCAAGCUCCCAAAUGCACGUGCGAACCCCACACACCUGUCCCACACAUCACCAACUGCCAGCGAGCCCCCAGAUGGCGUAGUGGACUAAGUGACUUGAAGGUUGGGUUGCUGACCUGAAAGCUGCCAGGUUCGAAUCCCACCUGGGGAGAGUACAGAUGGGCUCCCUCUAUUAGCUCCAGCUCCAUGCGGGGACAUGAGAGAAGCCUCUCACAAGGAUGGUAAAAGGCAUUGAAUGUUUGUCUUAUAUGUGUAAUGACAAGGCAUUGAAUGUUUGCCUUAUAUGUGUAAUGUGAUCCUCCCUGAGUCCCCUUCGGGGUGAGAAGGGCGGAAUAUAAAUACUGUAAAUAAAUAAAUAAUAAUUAAAAAUAAAAACAUCAAAACAUCCGGGCGUCCCCUGGGCAACGUCCUUGCAGACGGCCAAUUCUCUCACUCCAGAAGCGACUCAAGUUGCUCCUGACAUGGAAAAAAAAACCAACUGCCAGCCAGUCCCACUAAAUAAAAAGAAUCAAGAAAAUAAAGGAAAAGCAAAAAGAUUAAACUGUGAUACUGAAUAGGGGAUGAGGGCCAAGAUCAAGUGUCACAUGGUCCCAUUUCAGACUGGAAUCCAUGAGGACUGGGUCCUUGCCGUUACGGGCACCCGAACAAACCGAAGAAGCCAGAUUGGCUGAAAGAAAUUGCUAAAAACAGAUCUGCACUCAAGCCUAGUUCACAGUAUGCCAAGAGAAUGAAAUUGAUCAUAUAAGCUUUUAUAGACUAAGGGUUUGUCUACAGGAACAAAAAAAAGCAUAUUCAUCUAAUAGGCUCAGUAGCUCCUGUGAUAGUAGAAUUUGGGCUAAAGGUAAAAGUUCUUGGAAGCUAAGCAGGGUCAACACUUGUCAGUAUUUCGAUGAAGGUCUGUCACUUGUUAUUAACCAGUCAGCCAUCUAGUUGCCAUAUAAUCUUUUGGUCUGAAGAAGAAGUCUGAGAACUGUUCCCCUUUGCUAUAGACCAUUGGCGAGGAACCCCUAUUUUCCUGUAUUUUAAAGAUAAAACCUCAGACAUGUGUAACCAAGCAACAUCAGAGUGCAGUCAAUAUGGCAAAAGCUAUACAUGAGGAAAUAAACAUACGUUGGAAGAA